UGAUUAACAACAAUACUGAGUGAUAUUUCGAUGCAACCCGUGAGACGAUGUGAACCAUGAUG
rnacentral:snoRNA from 1 species